GUGCUCACUUUGGCAGCACAUGUAUUAAAAUUGGAACGAUACAGAGAUUAGCAUGGCCACUGUGCAGCAAUGACACGCACAUUCGUGAAGCGUUCCAUAUUUUU